rnacentral:antisense_RNA from 1 species
AGACUCCGAAAACUCCGCAAAAUAAGUAAUGACGCACGGAACGGAGCGGUAUAAAACAAAUCGCCUGUUCAGAAUAACAAUAGAAGGCGCCGAACUCACUGUAGAAGUGGGUUCGGCGCCU